CACGUAGAAGACUAGUGUUAUUCAUCUUUAUUAGGUUUAAAGGGUACCUAGACGGAAAAAUCAAGCCAUAAAUAAGGGACUAAUUUUCUAGAGUUUUAUGAGAGAAGGGGCGAAUUUCCGGAGGAAAGUUGAUAUUUUGUGAUACUGGGAAGGACGGGUAACGGCGAAGGCAACCUUUUAUGUAAAAACUGACGUUGAGGGACGAAGCCUUGGGUAACGAGAAGG
rnacentral:rRNA from 1 species